GGAGAAUGCCGGUAUGAGUAGCGAAAGACGGGUGAGAAUCCCGUCCACCGAUUGACUAAGGUUUCCAGAGGAAGGCUCGUCCGCUCUGGGUUAGUCGGGUCCUAAGCUGAGGCCGACAGGCGUAGGCGAUGGAUAACAGGUUGAUAUUCCUGUACCACCUAUAAUCGUUUUAAUCGAUGGGGGGACGCAGUAGGAUAGGCGAAGCGUGCUGUUGG
rnacentral:rRNA from 1 species